AAAAAAACCUGCAGAAACAUCCGAUAUCUGAUGCUUCGAAAACUAUGUCACUAAGUAAGAAGCCCGAAACCGAACACAAUAUUCAAGGUGCAGUCUCACCAGUGCCACAUACAAGAGGACAACCACUUCCCUCGUCCUGCUGGCCACACUACUUCUGAUGCAGGCCAGGAUGCCGUUGGCCUUCUGGGCCAAAUGCUGGUGAGUAGGGUAUGAAGAUCAGAGAACACAGAUCAAUGGGAAACCAGACUUCAUCCAUCCUGCUGGAGUUCCUGAGUUUUCUGCCAUUGUUUUUCAGACUCAGUUUCAGUUUAGGGAGAAAUAGGGAGAAAUAGAUACUAUUCUGUUAAAAAUAUCUCUUUUUUUUUUUUUUUUUCCUGAAAUUUCUUAUGGGAUUUUGAAGUGGCUGUAGCUCAGCAGACUUUGCUGCCACUGAUGUGUUGCAGAAUGUCUCUUGAUGACCACAGAAUCUGCACUAGCUCAACUUUGCAUACUUUUCUUGUGCUCAUUGUUCUUUUACAGUUCUGCGGCCAAAAAUGCUGUACCACUCUGCACAUGUUUAUUCUGAUAACAUAGUAAGCACAUACAUGUGAGUAUUUAAAACUAGUAAAGCACUUUUGUUUCUCAUGGAUGGUCUUGUAUUAACAUCUGCUACCAGUAAUAAACACACCUAAAGCCUUGGAAAGAGCUCCAGACCAGAGAAAGGACUGCAUUCAUGUAUAUUGGACAUAAUUCUCCCCAUUGUUUAAAAAAACCUACUAGACAACAAAUUAAAAUAAAAUAAUAAAAUAAAAUAAAAUAAAAUAAAAUAAAAUACUUAAAUAAAAAGAAGAAGGACAUUGUAAGAGCUGGUCAGGCCACUUGAUAUUGCAUAUUACGUUUUCUUUCUUUUCUGGCCAUGCUUGAAUAAUCUUAUGAAUUUGAAGUUUAGGUAUCACAAGUUGUCCAACAAAAGUACAGUUAGUCAUGCAUAAUUUGGAUUCCAAUGUGUACAUGAAGAAAAUGGCUUAACACAAGGCUUUUUGUAUUAAAGCCAUCUGUGACUCACAGUAUCAUCAUGCAUGAUAUGGGGUCAUUGUGUGAAAGCAGUAGAGCAUGAAGGACAAUGGAAACGGCAUAUGAAAAGCCACUUCAGGAUGCCAUGCACAGUUCCUGGAAAUGGUAAUGAUAUGGUGUUUGAGGAACAGUAAUGUGUUUACAAAUCCUGCUGAUGCUGGAAUCAUCUAUCUUUUCCAUAUAUCCUAGAGUUGUACAUGAGGCUUUGGUGCAGUGUAAUGGUGUUAUUAGCGUGAGUUUUUUACUUGGGUAUGAGAAAGAUGUGAGUCAUCCAGCUUCUCCAAAAGAGAGCAGAUAAAAUGUUUUUGCUACACUUAUGUGUACUCUGUGUAUGUGACAUGUAUCCCAGAAAGAAAAGCUGAUCUGAAGUAUGUUAGACUGCCCUUAAGUAUUACGUUGUACAGUUUUUCUCAGUGAUGUCUACCCAUCAGUUUUUGUAGAUGAAUUCUGUAGCCCAUUAAAAUCAAAUACAAAUCUUAAUUAUUUCAGCAGCUCCAAAUUUUAUCCUGUAAGUUCUCAAGCACUGCAAAGAGGAGAGAUAUAAACACAUCUGAAAUCUGAAAUAGAUUUUCUACACAAAAAGAAUAAUUUGCAUAUAAAUAAAUAUUGUCUUCUUCUUCCAUAGCCUUUUACACAUGAAUUUAAAGAAUCCUGUGAGUCUGCAUAAAUAUAUUCAUGAAAGUUUGACUGCAGGUUAUAUAAAGAUUCCUCCAUUUUGACAUAAAUCAAAUUAAUCCUCUUUGAAUCUUCACUGAAAUGAUGAUGCUAGGCUAAAUAAAUCUCUUUGAAUUCUCAUUAACUGUUAGUACAGCUGAUUCUUUGACUGGUUCAUUAGCAUGCUUGGUGGCGUAUGCUCAAAAAGAAAAAAAAAAAAAAAAAGAACCCUACAAUUUAAUGCAAAAUAGAACAAAGCUGUAGAUUCUGCCUUUAUCUUGUACACACUGCAAGGUACAUGGAGCAACAAUCUAACUUAAGCAGUGCAUGAAGUUCUUCUGAAUUGCUAUUCAAAGUGUUUCCUAACUUUGACAAAGUAUAAAUUAAUUAGUCAGCUGUAUGUAGAUUUUCAACAAACACAGUUAAGACUACAGAGUAAGAAAAGCUUUAAAAUAUCCACUGUAUAACAUUAACAAAUAGAUAUCAGAAAAUAAAUUCACUAUUUUGUAAUGGUAAAACUUGCUAAUUAAGCUUUAAUGA